AUGCAGUCAGUGCCAGUGCAAACUCCAGAACUGCAGAUGCAGAUGAAGGGCAUGUCUGCCAACAUGUUGUGUCGACUAGGGUACAAAAACAAAAUGUACCUGCACUGGUACAGGCAGCUUCCUGGAGAGCCACCAAAGAGGAUACUGUACCAGUCUGGAGGGACACCUGUGUUUGAGGACAGCAACGAUAGAAACAGGUUUCAAGUUCAGAAAGAUCCUACUCAGCCUGUAUAUGGUCUCAUGAUAAAUUCUUUAACCCUGAAGGAUUCUGGCAUUUAUUACUGUGCAUACUGGUUUUACCAAGUCACCACACCAUUAGUCAGGCAAAGAUAA